CCCCGCGGCGCCCGCCGACCCCGUCGCGGGCUUCUGACGUCACAGGGAGCGCGACUGAGCCUCGCGAACCCGACCACGUCCUGUCACAGGCCGCACCGGCAUCGCCGCGGCCUGUCGACCCCGUCGCGCUCCCCGUGACGUCACAGCCGGCGACUGCGACCCGCGCAGGCGCACGGCAGAGAUCCUCUGUUUCCUCCUCGGCGGCGGCGGCGGCGGUCGAUCCCGUGAUUCCCCGCGGCGUCCCCGACCCCGUGAAUACCAAUCGAUACUAAUCAAUUAUCAAUAAUCGAGGUAAUCAGUAAAUCGUGGCGCAGGCCUUUGUUCCCAGCACUCGGGAGGCAGAGGCAGGGGCAUGAAGGUGAUGGGAUGGCGAUCAACGCUCAUGAUAACCGGGUGUCGUCCCAGGAGCCCAGCCCCGGCCGCUCACGGAAACCCCGUCCCAACCACGUGUGGCGUCGAUGCUCACGGCUCCUCGGUGAGUGAUGGCGGCCAAGCUUUCCGGGUUCGUGUUUCUGUGUGAAACCGAGUAUUUCUUCCUUCCAGGAUGCAAGCAGGAACCGUGAAGAGCAGCACUGAAACCACGUGAUGAGGAGGAGGCAGAGGAAGUGAACCGUGUGUGUGUGAGACACAGUUCCCCCCCGUCACGUUUCAGAUUAUUUUAUGUUUAUGCAGAAGUGCACACACGUUCAAUGAGCGCCGAUAUUAAAUCUCCCACUUCCGGUAUCCAAUAAACGGGAAAGGAAGAUAUUGUCAAAUAAAAUCUGGAUUCUGUAUAUAGAUCAA